GACUUGCAGUACAUAGAGAACAGGAAAUUGCAGAGGUUAUUCGACCAAUUCAGUGCAGAAAACUUUUAAAUGCAUGGAAAUGAGCAGGUUUCUGCCUCUGCUGCUGACGUUGAGAGGUCCUUAACUUUGCCUGACAGUCCUCGAUUGAUUGUUCUCGAACUCGCCUCCGCAGGCGAGGGACCCGU